UUGACGGGGUGCUGCCUGCUUGCAGGGGGCUGAGAUGAUACCCGUUGAACCUGAACCGGUUAGUACCGGCGUAGGAAUCGAGA
rnacentral:ncRNA from 1 species